rnacentral:rRNA from 2 species
CAAUAGCGUAUAUUAAAGUUGUUGCAGUUAAAAAGCUCGUAGUUGGAUCUCAGGCGCAGGCGGGUGGUCCGGCUCGCGCCGGCUCACUGCCCGUACUCCUGCCCUACCUGUUGUCGGCUCUCUCCCGCGGGUGCUCUUCACUGAGCGUCCCGGGUGGCCGGCGCGUUUACUUUGAAAAAAUUAGAGUGUUCAAAGCAGGCUAAAUAGCCUGAAUAAUGGUGCAUGGAAUAAUGGAAUAGGACCUCGGUUCUAUUUUGUUGGUUUUCGGAACUAGAGGUAAUGAUUAACAGGGACAAACGGGGGCAUUCGUAUUGCGGCGUUAGAGGUGAAAUUCUUGGAUCGCCGCAAGACGAGCUACUGCGAAAGCAUUUGUCAAGAAUGUUUUCAUUAAUCAAGAACGAAAGUCAGAGGCG